rnacentral:rRNA from 1 species
UACGUAGGGUGCGAGCGUUAAUCGGAAUUACUGGGCGUAAAGCGUGCGCAGGCGGUUCGUUGUGUCGGCGGUGAAAGCCCCGGGCUUAACCUGGGAAUGGCCGUCGAAACUGGCGAACUGGAGUGUGGCAGAGGGGGGUGGAAUUCCGCGUGUAGCAGUGAAAUGCGUAGAGAUGCGGAGGAACACCGAUGGCGAAGGCAGGUCUCUGGGCCGAUACUGACGCUGAGGAGCGAAAGCGUGGGGAGCGAACAGG